GGGGGCGUGGCAGAAAAGUGAUGCACCUGCUUUGCAAGCAGGUUUAAACGGGAGCGUUACCCGUCAGCCUCCA
rnacentral:tRNA from 1 species